ACUCCUACGGGAGGCAGCAGUGGGGAAUAUUGGACAAUGGGCGAAAGCCUGAUCCAGCCAUGCCGCGUGAGUGAUGAAGGCCUUCGGGUCGUAAGACUCUGUGGGGAGGGGACGGAAAAAGACGUGACCUAAUACGUCUCGCCUUGACGGUACCUCCUUAGCAAGCACCGGCUAACUCCGUGCCAGCAGCCGCGGUAAU
rnacentral:rRNA from 1 species